AAAAUCUGUACACAUAUUCGGGCAGACAUACAGAAACCGGGGGUAUGUGAGCCUCCAUCCUCUUUUUCCCUCCUUUCUGACAGGGAGCUGGAGGAGGACGCUGGACCAGAGCCCAGGAUGGAGUGACGCUGCGAGUGCCCAUUGCUUGCUACCAGCUCUGCUGCAGCCACAAGACCAGUUGUUACUUCGUUUAGAGCAGCAGCCAUCAGCUUGCAGCAUCCAAAAGAUGCAAUGAGAGUUACCCAUCCACAGCCCAGCAUCAGCAGUGCCUCCCGCAGUCACAGCACUGAAUCAGGGGAUCUUGGCCAGCUCUCCUCAUCCUAAGGUUAUCCUGCUUUCACAGCAUAAAACCCUGGUGAUUUUUGUUUAUUCCUUGCUGCAAGCAGGUGCCCUUCUACAUUUUAAACAAGUAUCACAUGCCACAAUAGUUAAUGAGUGACAGGUCCCUGCUAAUUCAUCCUGCACAAGGGGACUUAUCACAGGCAUUAAUGUGCAAACCGAUGCCAUCAUGAAGAAACGUUGCAUUUGAGGAUGCCCACUCAAUAGGGAAGAUUUCUCAUCUCUGAGAUGCCCACAGAAAGGUCAUGCCCACCUCCUGUCAGGGCUAAAUGGCAUUUUUGGCUUUGGCCGUGCAUUCCCAGCCAGUCCCGUGCGGGCUGUGCCAGGGGAGAGCCCAGACAUGCUGUCUCCCUGCUGAUUUUA
rnacentral:lncRNA from 1 species